GACGUAGGGCGCGAGCGUUGUCCGGAUUUAUUGGGCGUAAAGAGCUCGUAGGCGGCUUGUCGCGUCGACUGUGAAAACCCGCGGCUCAACCGCGGGCCUGCAGCCGAUACGGGCAGGCUAGAGUUCGGUAGGGGGAGACUGGAAUUUACGGUGUAGCAGUGAAAUGCGUAGAUAUCGUAAGGAAGACCAGUGGCGAAGGCGAGUCUCUGGACAGUUACUGACACUGAGGCACGAAGGCCAGGGGAGCAAACGGG
rnacentral:rRNA from 1 species